rnacentral:lncRNA from 1 species
CGAUUUUCAACCCGAGGAUCACGGAGUUGGCCGAGGUGGUCACCAGCAGCGGAGCUCCUCGGAACCAACGCCGGACAAAGCUGUAUCAGAGACAACUUCGGAGGAGGAACUUCAAACGGGCUCGUCAUCGCGGAUGGCGAUCGGCUACGAUGGCCGUGAUUGAUCGUG